GUAUGGUGAAAGCAUGGCUGUUGCUCAGGGCAAAGGAAAAAAGUAGAUUUGCAUACUUCCGAUGAAACUUAUCUUCUGCCGUUUAUGGGACCAGAAAUGUUACGCCCUUUUUACACCAACAUAUGAGGGAUGCAAUGAUUUGGCCGGAGCUGCAGAUAAAAAUUUGAAGAAAAUCAUAGCAUCUGUGUUCCUUCUACAGGUCUCAAUAAUUUAGCAGUUAUCCAGACACCGACAAAAGCACACUUAACAGUUGGAGACUCCACUGAAAUCACAUGUAUUUGGGAAAAAUGGAUUCGAUUGAGAGAUAUAGAGUAAGCUGGUAUCUUGUCAAUAAGGAGAACAUCACAAAAACUGUAACGUCAGACGUUGUCUACCUAUCCAGUGUCACCCGCGAAAACAAGGAUGUGCUGGUGAUAGAAGCUGCCAAUGUAAAUAACACUGGAUUUUAUUACUGUGAGAUAAUUAUUGAAAUACCUUUCUAUGAAAGAAUGUAUGGAAAUGGAACAAUGCUGACUGUUGAAAAGAAAGGCAAUAGGGAUGGUGCGUGUUUCACCUAACCUUAAAGAAAGAAUGUGUCAUACCUGGAGGACAAUUUACCUUACUUCUGUUACACAACUCUCAAGAUCCUGUGCGUCGCUUUUUGAUGACAACGAUGAUCUCCCUCUCCUUUUCUGUCGCAGCUGUAGAGAAAGACAAGAAGCUGACUCACUGGAGAAGAGAGGGAUGGCAAUUUUGGCCAUCAUUCCUUUCCUAGUGGCAGUGGGAAGCUUGUAUCUUUGCUACAAAAAGAAACAGAACGCAAAACUUUCUGGUUCUACCCAGCUGCCUAUGCCAGAAGAAAGACAUCAGGAGGAGCAGGUGCUUCAGGUAGCAGAGCUUCAUGGAAGAAGUGGAUUCAUCAGUGAAGGAGUGGAGGAAAACUCAACAUGUAAUUCUGCUGGAUGGGUAAGCGGCUUGUAAAAUGACUCUUGCUAUGAGAAAUGGACUUCCAAAAUGAAGGCCUGGGGAGUGCAAGCUGAACAGAAAGCACACAAUGAGCUGUUGUUCCUAGGAUGGCACCCUGCUACAUACUAAAAAGCUUUGAAGUAGAAAGAAAUGUUUUAUCAUGGGAGUCAACACCUUAAAUAAGGAAAAAGGUAUUUAUGUACUAGAAAAGUAUUGGAUUCCGCUAAUAUGUUUAAUGAUGCUCUAGAAUUGCAUGGAAAGGAGGGCAGCACAAAGUGGAGAACAUAAAUCUAGAGACUGGAUUGAAGGAGCACAGGAGAAGACAACAGUGGCAAUAAUAUGGCUUUACCUAUAUUUGUAUGCUUGUCAUUUUCAGCCAAGUUCAGCUUAAGGGGCUACUCCGGCAGGCAACAGCUGCUGAGAGCAGGUAGCAGCCUUUAGGCAUUCAUCUUUUAAUUCGAUUCAAAAGUAGAGUAGCCAAGGGAAAGAAGCCCUAAUUUAAAUAGACUUUACUGGUAAAAGUUAUUUUGACUGGAGUUUUCUUUGCUUUUUAAGGCUGUAUCUGUGCUGUAUGAAUCCUUUGAUCUUUUUUGCAAUGAACCAAGAUAAGAUGGCAAAUCUACUGUGACUGCUGUAUCCAGCACAGCAAAUGAGCAAAUCCUGUGAAUUAGGGCAGCCAAAGAGUCAAGAACGAAAGUGAGACAAGGAUUUACCACCUACUUUGACACUGAGAACUAAAUGAUCCUGUCAUAAAUAACCAAUAUGGAUAAAGAUCUAUGAAACUGAAAAUACCACCAUAAUUGCUGCUGAAAUAUGGAUUACUUGAGUCUGCUGUCAGAAGAAUGUUAGAGGGACAAUAUGCCAGAACAAGGGUUGGUUCGGAACAGUCUCUAAACGUUUUAUCAUUGACUUUAUCGUAAGGAGUCUGUGAAUUUGAAGUGUUUGCAGUUGUAGAAGGCUAUGUCUUCAACUUUACCCCCAAUAUCCAGAGUGCAGAACUAAUAAAGUAUGUAUUGACAUACUUGAAAAUCUUCUA
rnacentral:lncRNA from 1 species